UACAGAGGUCUCAAGCGUUGUUCGGAUUCAUUGGGCGUAAAGGGUGCGUAGGUGGCGCUGUAAGUCGGGUGUGAAAUUCGGAGCUUAACUCCGAAACUGCAUUCGAUACUGCGGUGCUCGAGGACUGGAGAGGAGACUGGAAUUCAUGGUGUAGCAGUGAAAUGCGUAGAGAUCAUGAGGAAGACCAGUGGCGAAGGCGGGUCUCUGGACAGUUCCUGACACUGAGGCACGAAGGCCAGGGGAGCAAACGGG
rnacentral:rRNA from 1 species